CCUACGGGUGGCAGCAGUGAGGAAUAUUGGUCAAUGGACGAGAGUCUGAACCAGCCAAGUAGCGUGAAGGAUGACUGCCCUAUGGGUUGUAAACUUCUUUUAUAUGGGAAUAAAACGUUCCACGUGUGGGAUUUUGUAUGUACCAUAUGAAUAAGGAUCGGCUAACUCCGUGCCAGCAGCCGCGGUAAUACGGAGGAUCCGAGCGUUAUCCGGAUUUAUUGGGUUUAAAGGGAGCGUAGGUGGAUUGUUAAGUCAGUUGUGAAAGUUUGCGGCUCAACCGUAAAAUUGCAGUUGAAACUGGCAGUCUUGAGUAAAGUAGAGGUGGGCGGAAUUCGUGGUGUAGCGGUGAAAUGCUUAGAUAUCACGAAGAACUCCGAUUGCGAAGGCAGUUCACUGGACUGCAACUGACACUGAGGCUCGAAAGUGUGGGUAUCAAACAGGAUUAGAUACCCUUGUAGUC
rnacentral:rRNA from 1 species